UGAUAAGAUGAGAUAACACUAGAUAAGAGUUGACAUUUGAUGAGCGUCAGCCCUCGUUUGUUUUCGCUGGUACACAAACAUGUCUAUCUGUCUAUUUGUCUGUCUGUCAAGCUCCUUGUCUAUCUGUCUAUCCAUCUAGCUCUCUGUCUCAGAGAGAGCCACAAGACUGCAUCAUCAUGUUUACUCGUAUCUUCAAGCAGAGUAUAGCACUCUGGAUUUUUUGGGGUUAUCCUAGGUAAUUUACACUAUGUAUACUUGUAUUUAUGUGUACCUGUGAGACAGAGACAGAGAGACAAAGAUAGACAGAGACAGAGAGACAAAGAUAGAGACAGACAUAGACACAGACAAAUGGAGGCAGGCUGCCAGCAGCUGGCCAGCCACGCAGCUGGCCGGCCAGCCAGCCAGCCAGCCAAUCAGCCAGCCAGCCUGCUGAAUAAUGACCUUUUGUUUGGAGAUGCUUACGCACCAGCUGUGGCCUAAAAAAUCCCAUCAAUUCAAGUUGGUAACCAGAAACAACAGCUGGAGGAUAAGAGCACUGUGUAAGUAAACCAUGAAACAUUUCUUCACGAAGAAGGAAGUGGAGCCGAAGGACAGAAGAGACAAAGUUGGAGGUGGAGAAAGCCAAGAAGUUGAGCAAAUUCUUAAUGUCCUUUGAAAAGCCCAGAACAAGUUGUUCGACAUGUUCCAUGGAGUCGACUGCACCUUCUACAAGUGUGUUAGAAUCCAAAGGUGGAUCAAGUACAAAUGCAUCACAAGCUGAGGGAUAAGUCAAGUCAGAUAAAUCAGAAUAUGAGGUUAUUAAAAGUGAGGCUGCCAAAGAAAAUGAACAUGACAGGAAGGAAAGACGGUGGUGGCGAUGUUGAGUUUAUUGACAAGAGUUUUACCUUAAGAGACUGAACCAGACGACAUUGAAUCUAGAGAACUGGAUGGUGCUGAAGAGCCUUGAGCUAUCAUACCAAAAGUGAUUGAAUAACCUAACAUUGAACUUCUGAAGUUUGGCAAGGAUACUGGAAAAGCAAUUCUGACUGAUGCACCGAGAAAAAUAAUUAAGAACAGUGAAGGGUCUUUCCUACCAACAAAUAACUGCUCAAUGAACAAAACUUGGUUCAAGAGGAAAUCGAGAAAUAGUCAUGGUGAGGGAGUGACUUGCUCAUGGCUAGACUCUUCCCCUUCUAAAAAGUCUGCUUUUUGUAUCUGUUGUCUUCUCUAUUCCCAGUCAGACCAUCAAUCCUCACAGGAGCAGGAAAGUUUAUUCAACCAGCGAAAAGCACCUAAAAGGAUAAGUGUUCAUGACAAUGCUAAGAAUCAUCAGGAGUACUUCACACAGUGGAAAGAAAUUCAGCUGAAAACUUCAGUCACAGAUUGAGAAGGAAAAACAGAAGUGGCAGAAUAUCGUGACACGAAUGCUUUACUGCAUAAAAUUUUUUGCAGCUCAGAACCUGGCUUGGUGAGGACACAGAGUCACUUCAGAUGGACGAUGACUCCAAUGUGGGAAAUUUCCUUGGCUUACUGAAUCUACUGGCCAUCUCUGACCCUGUCAUGGAAGAACACCUUACUUGUGUGUAAAUUAAUCCUGGAUCCACAUCUUAUCUUUUACCAGGUGUCCGGAAUGAAUUCAUCCACAUGAUGGUAUCCACAGUUCACCAGAGCUGACUGAAAAGCAUUCAUAAAGCCAAGUGCUAUGGUCUCAUGUUCAACUCGAGUCCUGAUAAGGCACACUGUGUGCAGAUGUCAGAAGUAGUGAGGUAUGUGGAAGUUGAUUUUGAGAGAAAAACAGUGCUAGAGAGUCCUUCCUUGGUUUUAUCCAGAUAAGCGAGAAAAACAACCUGGCAGUGUUGGUGAAUUGCGGCUAUCACUCACUCAACUUGGUGGGUGUACAUGUAGCCAAGCAGAAUACAAUGAUGUCAUGUUUUUUGGAACCAUCAAAGCGCUUUGUAUAAAAAAAAAAUAAAGCCAUGCUUGUGAUUGUUAUGGUGGAGUCCAAAACCAGGUGGAGUGCAAGUUUUCCGGGACAUAAAAGACACUGAAAAGGAGACCAGUGAAACAAGAAGUGAUGCAAGGCAGCUGUAUAACUGCAUGUUAGGUUAUGAUUCUCUGUCUUUGCCAGGACUUUGGAACAAAGUACAGCCUCUCCUCACCUAGCGACAUAGUCGUUUACCAACGGUUCAGACUUACGACAGGCUCUCUGACCAGUAUGCAUACCUAAAUGUAUAUUAGAGCUAAUUUCCUCUGCUCUGUUUAUUACAAUAUACAAUACACUACUGUAUAAUCAUUUAAAAAUAUACCAGAAAUGUUAUAAAUGGUGCAAAGGCAACACUAAAACAAUAUCAAAGAUGGCUGACAUAAACCCACUACCAUUAUAGUAGUAAGUUUUCACUUAGAGACAAAUUCGUUUACCAACGAGGUCUCAGGAAUGGAACUCCAUUGAAUUUGAGCACGUCAUAGACCAAUCUGCAUCAGUGUAAGCAAGGAAUGUGCAGUUGUAAUUUUCAUGUAGUGCCAUAAUUUGUUAAAUAAAAAAUAAUUAGCACGACUUGUAUUUUUGAGUUGAUUUUAUGAUGUUAGAUGUUUGGACAGGAGCACAAUUUCAGUGCUUGCCAUAGGCACUAUUUUCCAUAGAUAUGCCCCUGCAUAGUACACAAUGUACACAGGAGCUGUGACAACCCCUGCAACCAUAGAAGUGAAAAUGAGCAAGCAAGGAAGCAAGCAAGAACACACAUGCAUGUGUGCAUGUGUGCACACACAUUUAUGGCCCCAACAAACAAACUAACCAUCUCCAAAGCAAAUAAAUGCUCCCUUUCAAUUAAUGAUGCAGUGAACAAGCUUAACUUCUCUACAGUAGGAGUUAAUCUUGCAAACAUCCCAGAGGCUCACACCAGCAUCAGUAGCUAUCUAACUGGCAUUAACCCUAGUUUCUUUACUUGGCUUUUACCACCUCCUUAGAAAUAACUAAAAUAUAAAAUCAUUUGAAAAUACAUCUUGUAACAACUGAAUUAUCUAUAAUUACCUGGAGGGUGUUCCAGGGGUCAAUGCUCCCACUGCCCGGCAGUGUCCCCCUAGUUGACCCCAUCAGUGUAAAAUAAGUCUAUUACUCAAAAGAACAGAUGCCAAACUCUUCAUUCUUCACACCCUACCAUGCCCCAGAGCCCUAAUGCACUAGGUUACUUUGGCUAAACUGGGACUAUAUGUUUCACUGGUACCCUGUCAACUACUGGAUCAGGAUUUCACCCUCAAUACAUGGGUUCCAAGUUUAUUCCAGAUGGCUUGUAGAAUGCCAAUACACUACAAAGGCAAAGCCCCCUCAGCACACUUAAGCUGAGGAGCGAGGAUUGCCAGGCUUUCCUGAAGGAGUUAAAUUCCCCAGUUUCACCACGCACCAGCUUCAUCUCUGCAUGCUUGAUAGUAGUGCUGUGCCAUGCCCUACCCCAUUACCCUUCACUGCACCCAGGAAUUUGCCUAGGGUCUUGGCAGCCAACAACCCAGCACCAUCUAUGCUACUCUCAAAUUUAGUUUUACCUCACGUAGAUCUACGUUUGAACCGCUAGUGCUCCGAAUGUAGAUCUACACUUUUUUUUUUACAAAAGAAUGUAAAAUAAAACAUAGAUCUACAUUUGGAGCGCUACUGGUACAAACAUAGAUCUAUGUUUGGACAGUUUAAGGGUUAAUUUUUGUUCUAAAGGAAGGAAGAAAAACCCCAGAUUUGAUGGAUUACUUGGCAACUUCAAUUUUAAUCUCGGAGCUUUUUUUUUUUUUGACCUCUUAACAUGAACACAUUGGUUCAUAAGUUGAGCCUCUCCUAUAUUGAUAAGACUAACUUUUCUCUUUCCUUAAAAGAUGUUUAGCCCUGAACUCAUCCAUUUGGGACAUCUUUGAUCUGAUAUUUUUAUGGGAAAUAAACAGGUAUGUCAUUUGGGCAGCUUCUGCAAUGCAUAUUUAAAAACAUCAUGUGGGGUUCUCCUCAGACAUACAGCCUCUCCUUGCUUAACGACAGAGUUCCAGUCCAAAGACCACGUCAGAAAACUAAUUCGUCACUAAGCAAGGAGUGUACUAUAAUGGUAGUGGGUUUGUGUCAGCCAUCUUUGAUAUGUUUUAAUGUCACCUUUCCACCAUUUAUAAAAUUUUUAAUAUACAGUGGACCCCCGAGUUUCAUCGGCAUCGACUUUCGUGAAAUCCGACUUUCGGCAAGUUUUUUCGGCAAAAUUUAGCCUCAUGGUUCGUGAUUGGACUCGUGAUUCGGCGACCGUCCGGUACCCGUCUGCCCAUCACCGGGCACACAAAGCCAGUCUCCCACACCAUUCACACUCAGUGUGCCAUUGUUUACCAGCACGUGGGCAUCACCCUGCGGGUUCAUACAAUACGUUUCAUAAUAAUCCAUUGUUUUUUGUGCUUGCAACUGCUGAAUAAGUCACCAUGGGCCCAAGGAAAGCUAGUGCAAGCCCUUUGGUAAAAAAAGUGAGGAACACGAUCGAAUUCAAGCAGGAAAUCAUUGAAAAAUAUGAGAGCGGAGUGCGUGUUACAGAACUUGCCAGGAUGUAUGGCAAACCCCACUCAACCAUGGGGUAAGGCUUGGGAAGGAGUGACUUGCAGAACUUUGAAUUCUGCUUGGAGAAAAUUGUGUCCAGAAUGUGUACAAGAGAGAUUUUGAAGGGUUUGGGGCUGACCCUAAGGAGCCUAUGCCAGUUGUGGAAUCUAUUGUGGCAUUGGGGAAGUCCCUGGGGUUGGAGGCGAGUGGCGAGGAUGUGGAAGAGUUGGUGGAGGACCACAAGGAAAAGCUAACCAAUGAAGAGCUGCAAGAGCUUCAUCUGCAACAGCAAGAGAUCACAGCUCAGGAAAUUGUGGCAGAGGAGGAGGAAGAGAGAUGGAGGAAGGUGCCUUCUUCAAAGAUUAAGGACAUUUGUGCAAAGUGGACUCAAGUGCAAACAUUUAUGGAUGAACUUCACCCUGACAAAGCUGUUGCAGGCCGUAUUGGCAACAUGUACAAUGACAGUGUUGUGUCCCACUUCAGACAAAUCUUAAAGAAAUGCCAGAAACAGCUUUCUGGACAGAUAUUUUGUAUGACAGGGUUUCAGUGACUCAAGUUGUUUCCAGUAUCUUUAAAAAACAAAAAAGGGAAGUAACCCCAGAUAAGAACUUUGUACCUGAAGUCCUAAUGGAAGGAGAUUCUCGUUCCAAACAAUAGUGUACACCUUCCUCCUAUCCCCUCCUCCCGUCUUCCAUCCACCCAGAAGUCUUCAGUAAAGGUAAGUGUAAUGUUAUUAUUAUUUUUCAUAUGUAUGUACUUGAUUUCUCAUUGUUUUCAGUAUGUAAAUCUUUAUUUAAUUUGAAAAAAUAUUUUAUUUUAAUAUUUUUGGGUGUCGGGAACAGAUUAAUUUUAUUCCCAUUAUUUCUUAAGGGGAAAAUGGUUUCGCCAUUCGGCAAUUUCGACAUUCGGCAGACUCUCUGGAACAGAUUAAUCACGAAACUCGGGGGUCCACUGUAUUUUUAAAUGUUUAUACAGUAGUGUAGUGUAUAUUGUAAUAAAGAGAAUAGAGGAAAUCAGCUCUAAUAUAUAUACAUUAUUUAGGUAUGCAUACUGGUCAGAGAGCCUGUCGUAAGUCAGAGUCGUCGGUAAAUGAGUAAGUCGCUAAGUGAGGAAAGGCUGUAAAAGAUCUUCAUCAAUAUAACUAUUGGUCAAGUUAUUCCCAUUAUAUGUCAAAGUGAAAAGAACCAAACCAUACUAAGGGUGGGGUUAGAACCCACGAUCAGUCUCUCAAAAAACUUGCAUUUGUGGUCACAGUGGUGCCUAUGCUAACCUUUCUACGGUGUAGAAAUAUACCUAGUUGGAUGAAUCUUAUUGUGGCUAGUUGGCCCAGUGGCUAACGUGACAGUCUGGAAUUUUGAGACUCUCCGAUUGCGGGUUCUAACUCUGUCCAUGGUAUGGUUUGUUUGCAAUUACGGUUUUGUGAGUAAUGUCUAAGUGUUUCGAAAAGUCCAUUAUAAUCUGCCAAGCAAAAAUGUGCGACCUUUAUUAUCAUACUUCUGUGCAAUAUUAUAAGCUUAAGAUUUAUGGUCACUUGUGUCAAGUUCUUCACUGAGCUCUAGAUUAUUUACAAGGGUCUCCUUCCUUGUCAGAACUAAAUCAAAUUGGUUAUUAUAUCUCUAGUUGGUUCUGUAACAAAGUGCUUUAUAAAGAAAUCCCAGACAGCCUCUAAGAAAUUGUACUUCAGCCUUUUAAAACUAAAUGUGCUGUGUCACAGUUUGAAAAUCAUAACAGAACCUUUAACCCGACAAGAACAGUUUUAAUAAAUAUGGUCAUUACUAGUAACUAAGAGCUCCAUCAGGUUAGGUAACUAACAUGGAGUUCUUAGGCUUGCUAGAGGAAAAGGAUCAGGCGAAGGAUUUACCUGAAUGGAGCGAGUAAAUCUGGAUUUAAUGAGGGACGGCAUGCAAGCGGGUAGGUGUAGAUAGGGGUAAAUGUGUGUGAAGAAGCUGGCUUCAUAUGUGACAGAAUAAUCAAUCAGGGGCUCUAAGACGUCUGCUGAAUGUUUCAUGUCUACAGACAGAGGCCUUCACACUAAGCAUUAAAACAGUAUACUAGCUAGCAUUCCUGCUGGAGGACACUUCACAACCAAUCAUGGGCAAAAACACUUAGACCAUGUUUGUUUGUUUGUUUGUUUGUUACAGAGGAUAGUAGUGAAUGACAUUAAUA